UGAAUUGCAGUGAAACACCUAAAAUUGCUCAAAAUAGCUUUCCCUAGGAGAAUUGUAACAUUGUCUUAACAAAACAUAAUUAUUACCAGAAAUAAAUAUAUUUGUUGUGUCUUACAGGAACCAUCAUUGUUUGCUGUUGCUAAGUUACUGGAGACUGGUUUAGUGAACUUGUCGAGAGUGGAAAUUUUAUGGCGACCAGUCACAGCACAUCUAUUAGAGGUAAGAAAAAAAGUUUUGUAAUAAAAUGGCACCAAUUGGUAUGUACAGCAUUGAAGUUUCUUUGUUUAUACAUGUAUUGUUUGAUAAUUACAUAUCUACUGAGAAUGGGGAAAAAAACAACAACAACA